CCUACGGGUGGCUGCAGUGGGGAAUAUUGCACAAUGGGGGAAACCCUGAUGCAGCGACGCCGCGUGAGUGAAGAAGUAAUUCGUUAUGUAAAGCUCUAUCAGCAGGGAAGAAAAUGACGGUACCUGAGUAAGAAGCCCCGGCUAACUACGUGCCAGCAGCCGCGGUAAUACGUAGGGGGCAAGCGUUAUCCGGAUUUACUGGGUGUAAAGGGAGCGUAGACGGGAGUGCAAGUCUGGAGUGAAAGGCGGGGGCUCAACCCCCGGCCUGCGCUGGAAACUUUACGGCUUGAGUGCAGGAGGGGCAGGCGGAAUUCCUGGUGUAGCGGUGAAAUGCGUAGAUAUCAGGAGGAACACCGGUGGCGAAGGCGGCCUGCUGGACUGCGACUGACGUUGAGGCCCGAAAGCGUGGGGAGCAAACAGGAUUAGAUACCCCAGUAGUC
rnacentral:rRNA from 1 species